CCUACGGGAGGCAGCAGUAAGGAAUCUUGCGCGAUGGGCGAAAGCCUGACGCAGCGACGCCGCGUGGGCGACGAAGGCCUUCGGGUCGUAAAGCCCUUUUCUGGGGGAUGAGGAAGGACAGUACCCCAGGAAUAAGUCUCGGCUAACUACGUGCCAGCAGCCGCGGUAAAACGUAGGAGGCUAGCGUUAUCCGGAUUUACUGGGCGUAAAGCGCGCGUAGGCGGCUCCGUAAGUCGGGCGUGAAAUCUCCCGGCUCAACUGGGAGGGGUCGUCCGAUACUGCGGAGCUUGAGGGCAGGAGAGGGAGGUGGAAUUCCCGGUGUAGGGGUAAAAUGCGUAGAUAUCGGGAGGACCACCAGUGGCGAAGGCGGCCUCCGGGCCUGCCCCUGACGCUGAGGCGCGAAAGCGUGGGGAGCGAACGGGAUUAGAUACCCCUGUAGU
rnacentral:rRNA from 1 species